CCUACGGGUGGCAGCAGUGGGGAAUAUUGCACAAUGGGGGGAACCCUGAUGCAGCGACGCCGCGUGGGUGAAGGAGUAUUUCGGUAUGUAAAGCCCUAUCAGAAGGGAAGAACAAUGACGGUACCUGACUAAGAAGCACCGGCAAACUUCGUGCCAGCAGCCGCGGUAAUACGAAGGGUGCGAGCGUUGUUCGGAAUUACUGGGCGGAAAGGGAGUGUAGGCGGAUAUGUAAGAUAGCGGUGAAAUGCCGGGGCUCAACCCCGGAACUGCCAUUAUGACUAUGUAUCUAGAGUAAUGGAGAGGAUAGCGGAAUACCCAGUGUAGAGGUGAAAUUCGUAGAUAUUGGGUAGAACACCGGUGGCGAAGGCGGCUAUCUGGCCAUUUACUGACGCUGAGGCUCGAAAGCAUGGGGAUCAAACAGGAUUAGAUACCCUAGUAGUC
rnacentral:rRNA from 1 species